rnacentral:tRNA from 1 species
GCCGCCGUAGCUCAGCCCAGGUAGAGCGCCCUGGGGCAAACCGGGAGGUCCCGGGUUCGAAUCCCGGCGGCGGCACCA